GCGGCUGUGGCGGAAUUUGGCAGACGCGCGACGUUCAGGUCGUCGUGUCCUUCGGGACGUGGAGGUUCGAGUCCUCUCAGCCGCA
rnacentral:tRNA from 1 species